GAUGAACGCUGGCGGCGUGCCUAAUACAUGCAAGUCGAGCGAACAGAUGAGGAGCUUGCUCCUCUGACGUUAGCGGCGGAUGGGUGAGUAACACGUGGAUAACCUACCUAUAAGACUGGGAUAACUUCGGGAAACCGGAGCUAAUACCGGAUAAUAUAUUGAACCGCAUGGUUCAAUAGUGAAAGACGGUUUUGCUGUCACUUAUAGAUGGAUCCGCGCCGCAUUAGCUAGUUGGUAAGGUAACGGCUUACCAAGGCAACGAUGCGUAGCCGACCUGAGAGGGUGAUCGGCCACACUGGAACUGAGACACGGUCCAGACUCCUACGGGAGGCAGCAGUAGGGAAUCUUCCGCAAAGGGCGAAAGCCUGACGGAGCAACGCCGCGUGAGUGAUGAAGGUCUUCGGAUCGUAAAACUCUGUUAUUAGGGAAGAACAAAUGUGUAAGUAACUAUGCACGUCUUGACGGUACCUAAUCAGAAAGCCACGGCUAACUACGUG
rnacentral:rRNA from 1 species